ensembl:lncRNA
UUGAGAGCCUCCCAGAGGCAGGGAAGCUGAAAAUGGGAAUGUUGGCCUUGCCCUCUGCUUAGUGAUCCCGCUCUCAAUCUCAGGACAUGUGAAGUAUUCUUUCCACGGUUUUGCAACGUGUUUUAUAUAACAAGUAUUCACAUUUUCCCUGUGAUUUCAGAGGUUUAGAAGGAGGAAAGAGAAGCAUGGAUAAACAAAUCUUGCUAGCUCCCAGAGGACACUGUGUCUGCAGUUACUUUGCUUGUUGGUUUUAACUCAUUUAUUCAGUUAGGUUUACUUGGCUUACCUCACUCUGAAACAAUUAGCGGUUAGUUUACAGAAAGGUUCACAGGCUAGGGAAAAUAGAUACAAUCAGAGUAAGGGAAAGUUAAGUUUAGGAUAAUAAACCCAGGCUUGAGCUGUGCUACAUUCCAUAGGGUCACAAAAGAGUCAGACACGACUUAGCAAGUAAACAGCAACAGCAACAAAAGUAUCGGAGAGGGAAAAGACGAGGAAUUAUUGAUGUUAGAAUACUAUUUCACGUGAUUUUUCCCUUGAUAGAAAGAAGAGCAAGUGCACUAAUUUAGGGGAAAGUGGAAUUGAGGGGGAUUCUCCGAAUGUGGAAAAAUUGAGUGUAUCUUCAAAUUCGGAGGGAAGUGAGCCGCAGAAGAGCAGAAACUGCAGACAAAGAAGGGAAGUCAAGUUGUCAGAGGGGCAAAAUUCCAGAGAAGAUUGAAGGACCGGUGGAGGAUGGAAGAGAUGGAUGUUUGGUAUUGAUGUGGAGAAGGGCUGUUAGGUCAGAUGUGAAUGAAGGGGUAGCAAUACAGGGAACACUCCAGAUGGAAGGGGUCAUAACAGAUGACCUUGUGCUCGAUGAAGCACAGAUUUCAAGUUGCAAAAAAUCUGUUUCUUAUGAGUGAAAAACCUAUGUGAAAAAGAAUAGUCUCAGGCACAAAAGUCAAUCCAGAAGGAAAUCAACCUUGAAUAUUGGUUGGAAGGACCGAUGCUGAAGCUGAAGCUCCAAUACUUUGGCCACCGGAUGCGAGGAACUGACUCACUGGAAAUACACUGAUGCUCAGAAAGAUUGAGGGCAGGAGGAGAAGGGGACGACAGAGGAUGAGAUGGUUGGAUGGCAUCACUGACUCAAUGGACGUGGGUUUGAGCAAGCUCCGGGAGUUGGUGAAGGACAGAGGGGCCUGGUGUGCUGCAGUCCAUGGGGUCGCAAAUAGUUGGACAUGACUUAGUGACUGAACAGCAACAGGCAUAAAAAUGGAGUUAAUUUUGUAGGCAAAGCUGAACUCUGAUGAUUACUAUUGCAUAUUCAUUUAUCCAGUGAUAUAAACAUUGAUGCCAUGAAAUAAAACAUAAAAUGACAGAUAGUUUAGUAAUACAAAGAAAUGCUGAUAAAUAUUAGAUGACUUCAGAGCACUUUAUUAAUAUAUCCCUCUUGAUAUGACAAGAGCAAGCAAG